rnacentral:rRNA from 1 species
AGCGAACGCUGGCGGCAGGCCUAACACAUGCAAGUCGAACGAACCCUUCGGGGUUAGUGGCGGACGGGUGAGUAACACGUGGGAACGUGCCUUUAGGUUCGGAAUAACUCAGGGAAACUUGUGCUAAUACCGAAUGUGCCCUUCGGGGGAAAGAUUUAUCGCCUUUAGAGCGGCCCGCGUCUGAUUAGCUAGUUGGGGAGGUAAAGGCUCACCAAGGCUACGAUCAGUAGCUGGUCUGAGAGGAUGACCAGCCACAUUGGGACUGAGACACGGCCCAAACUCCUACGGGAGGCAGCAGUGGGGAAUCUUGCGCAAUGGGCGAAAGCCUGACGCAGCCAUGCCGCGUGGAUGAUGAAGGUCUUAGGAUUGUAAAAUCCUUUUAGCAGGGACGAUAAUGACGGUACCUGCAGAAAAAGCCCCGGCUAACUUCGUGCCAGCAGCCGCCGUAACAC